AUUGAACGCUGGCGGCAGGCCUAUCACAUGCAAGUCGAACGAUUGGCGGACGGGUGAGUCAUGUCUGGGAAACUGCCCGAUGGAGGGGGUUAACUACUGGAAACGGUAGCUAAUACCGCAUACCAUCGGAUGUGCCCAGAUGGGAUUAGCUAGUAGGUGGGGUAACGUCUCACCUAGGCGACGAUCCCAAGCUGGUCUGAGAGGAGGACCAGCCAGACUGGACCGGAGACACGGUCAAGACUCCUACGGGAGGAAGCAGUGGGGAAGAUUGGACAAUGGGCGCAAGGCUAAUGCAGCCAGGCCGCGGGUAUGAAGAUGGCCUUCGGGUGGUAAAGUACUUUGAGCGAGGAGGCGGUACUCGCAGAGGAAGCACCGGCUAACUACGUGCCAGCAGCCGCGGUAAUUC
rnacentral:rRNA from 1 species